rnacentral:rRNA from 1 species
UAAGGAAUAUUGCUCAAUGGGAGAAAUCCUGAAGCAGCAACGCCGCGUGGAGGAUGAAGGGCUUUCAGCUUGUAAACUCCUGUAAAGAAGGAAAAAAUUCCCAUUAGAUGGGAAAUGAUGGUACUUCUAAAGUAAGCCCCGGCUAACUACGUGCCAGCAGCCGCGGUAAUACGUAGGGGGCAAGCGUUGUCCGGAUUUACUGGGUGUAAAGGGUGCUCAGGCGGAUUUGUAAGUCAGAGGUGAAAUCUCACAGCUUAACUGUGAAACUGCCUUUGAUACUGCAAGUCUAGAGUAUGGAAGAGAGUGAUGGAAUGUCUGGUGUAGCAGUGAAAUGCGUAGAUAUCAGAUAGAACACCAAUGGCGAAGGCAGUCAACUGGCCCGAUUCUGACGCUAAAGCACGAAAGUGUGGGUAGCAAACA